rnacentral:rRNA from 1 species
AUUGAACGCUGGCGGCAGGCCUAACACAUGCAAGUCGAGCGAGCGGCGGACGGGUGAGUGAAGUAUGGGGACUGCCCGAUAGGGGGGGGUAACUACUGGGGACGGUGGCUAAUACCCCACGUUGUAUGAUAGACCAUAUGGGGUUAGCUAGUGGGUAAGGUAAUGGCUUACAUAGACGACGAUCCCUAGCUGGUCUGUGAGGAUGAUCAGCCACACGGGGACUGAGACACGGCCCAGACUCCUACGGAGGCAGCAGUGGGGAAUAUUGCACAAUGGGGGCAACCCUGAGGCAGCCAUGCCGCGUGUAUGAAGAAGGCCUUCGGGUUGUAAAGUACUUUCAGUCGGGAGGCGUUACCGACAGAAGAAGCACCGGCUAACUCCGUGCCAGCAGCCGCGGUAAUUC